rnacentral:rRNA from 1 species
AUUGAACGCUGGCGGCAGGCCUAACACAUGCAAGUCGAACGGUAACAGGAAGACGCUUGCUUCUUUGCUGACGAGUGUCGGACGGGUGAGUAAUGUCUGGGAAACUGCCUGAUGGAGGGGGAUAACUACUGGAAACGGUAGCUAAUACCGCAUAACGUCGCAAGACCAAAGAGCGGGACCUUCGGGCCUCUUGCCAUCGGAUUUGCCCAGAUGGGAUUAGCUAGUAGGUGGGGUAACGGCGCACCUAGGCGACGAUCCCUAGCUGGUCUGAGAGGAUGACCAGCCAGACUGGAACUGAGACAGGGUCCACACUCCUACGGGAGGCAGCAGUGGGGAAUAUUACACGAUGGGCGCAAGCCUGAUGCAGCCAUGCCGCGUGUAUGAUGAAGGCCUUAGGGUUGUAGAGUACUUUAGGCGGGAAGGAAGGAAGUCACGUUCAUCCCUUUGCUCAUUGACGGUACCCGCAGAAGAAGCCCCGGCUAACUCCGUG